AACGAACGCUGGCGGCAGGCCUAACACAUGCAAGUCGAGCGCGCCCUUCGGGGUGAGCGGCGGACGGGUUAGUAACGCGUGGGAAUAUGCCCAAAGGUACGGAAUAGCCUCUGGAAACGGAGAGUAAUACCGUAUGUGCCCUUCGGGGGAAAGAUUUAUCGGGAAAGGAUCGGCCCGCGUUGGAUUAGGUAGUUGGUGGGGUAAUGGCCUACCAAGCCGACGAUCCAUAGCUGGUUUGAGAGGAUGAUCAGCAACACUGGGACUGAGACACGGCCCAGACUCCUACGGGAGGCAGCAGUGGGGAAUCUUAGACAAUGGGGGCAACCCUGAUCUAGCCAUGCCGCGUGAGUGAAGAAGGCCCUAGGGUCGUAAAGCUCUUUCGCCAGGGAUGAUAAUGACAGUACCUGGUAAAGAACCCCGGCUAACUCCGUGCCAGCCGCCGCGGUAA
rnacentral:rRNA from 1 species